rnacentral:rRNA from 1 species
UACAGAGGUGGCAAGCGUUGUUCGGAAUUACUGGGCGUAAAGGGCGAGUAGGCGGCCUUCUAAGUCAGACGUGAAAUCCCCCGGCUUAACCUGGGAACUACGUCUGAUACUGGGAGGCUAGAGUAUGGGAGAGGGAUGUAGAAUUCCAGGUGUAGCGGUGAAAUGCGUAGAUAUCUGGAGGAAUACCGGUGGCGAAGGCGGCAUCCUGGACCAUUACUGACGCUGAAUCGCGAAAGCUAGGGGAGCAAACGGG